GACGAAGGUGGCGAGCGUUAUUCGGAAUCACUAGGCGUAAAGCGCGUGUAGGUGGGUGCUUAAGUCCGCUGUGAAAUUUCCCGGCUUAACCGGGAAGGGUCAGCGGAUACUGGGCAUCUUGAGUUAGGCAGGGGGUACUGGAAUUCCCGGUGUAGCGGUGAAAUGCGUAGAUAUCAGGAGGAACACCGGUGGCGAAGGCGGGUCUCUGGGCCGAUACUGACACUGAGGAGCGAAAGCGUGGGGAGCGAACAGG
rnacentral:rRNA from 1 species